UAACGGCGAGUGAAGCGGCAACAGCUCAAAUUUGAAAUCUGGCUCUUUUAGAGUCCGAGUUGUAAUUUGCAGAGGGCGCUUUGGCUUUGGCAGCGGUCCAAGUUCCUUGGAACAGGACGUCACAGAGGGUGAGAAUCCCGUACGUGGUCGCUGGCUAUUGCCGUGUAAAGCCCCUUCGACGAGUCGAGUUGUUUGGGAAUGCAGCUCUAAAUGGGAGGUACAUUUCUUCUAAAGCUAAAUAUUGGCCAGAGACCGAUAGCGCACAAGUAGAGUGAUCGAAAGAUGAAAAGCACUUUGGAAAGAGAGUCAAACAGCACGUGAAAUUGUUGAAAGGGAAGCGCUUGCAGCCAGACUUGCUUACAGUUGCUCAUCCGGGUUUCUACCCGGUGCACUCUUCUGUAGGCAGGCCAGCAUCAGUUUGGGCGGUAGGAUAAAGGUCUCUGUCACGUACCUCCUUUCGGGGAGGCCUUAUAGGGGAGACGACAUACUACCAGCCUGGACUGAGGUCCGCGCAUCUGCUAGGAUGCUGGCGUAAUGGCUGUAAGCGGCCCGUCUUGAAACACGGACCAAGGAGUCUAACAUCUAUGCGAGUGUUUGGGUGUCAAGCCCGAGCGCGUAAUGAAAGUGAACGGAGGUGGGAACCCGCAAGGGUGCACCAUCGACCGAUCCUGAUGUCUUCGGAAGGAUUUGAGUAAGAGCAUGGCUGUUGGGACCCGAAAGAUGGUGAACUAUGCUUGAAUAGGGUGAAGCCAGAGGAAACUCUGGUGGAGGCUCGCAGCGGUUCUGACGUGCAAAUCGAUCGUCAAAUUUGGGCAUAGGGGCGAAAGACUAAUCGAAC
rnacentral:rRNA from 1 species